rnacentral:rRNA from 1 species
UACGUAGGGUGCAAGCGUUGUCCGGAAUUAUUGGGCGUAAAGAGCUCGUAGGCGGUCUGUCGCGUCGGCUGUGAAACUCGGGGCUCAACUCCGAGCUUGCAGUCGAUCGGGCAGGCUAGAGUUCGGCAGGGGAGACUGGAAUUCCUGGUGUAGCGGUGAAAUGCGCAGAUAUCAGGAAGAACACCCGUGGCGAAGGCGGCUACCUGGACCGGUUCUGACGCUGAGGCGCGAAAGCGUGGUAGCAAACAGG